UACGUAGGGUGCGAGCGUUGUCCGGAAUUAUUGGGCGUAAAGAGCUCGUAGGCGGUCUGUCGCGUCGGUCGUGAAAACUUGGGGCUUAACCCUGAGCUUGCGGUCGAUACGGGCAUGACUGGAGUUCGGUAGGGGAGACUGGAAUUCCUGGUGUAGCGGUGAAAUGUGCAGAUAUCAGGAGGAACACCGAUGGCGAAGGCAGGUCUCUGGGCCAUAACUGACGCUGAGAAGCGAAAGCAUGGGGAGCGAACAGG
rnacentral:rRNA from 1 species